rnacentral:rRNA from 1 species
AGAGUUGUAUCCUGGCUCAGAACGAACGCUGGCGGCAGGCUUAACACAUGCAAGUCGAGCGGGCAUAGCAAUAUGUCAGCGGCAGACGGGUGAGUAACGCGUGGGAAUCUACCCAACCCUAUGGAAUAACGCAUGGAAACGUGUGCUAAUACCAUAUACGCCCCCCUUUAAAAUUCCAGGAAGACUAAAAUGCCUUGGCAUUUUAUGGGGGGGAAAGAUUUAUCGGGGAUGGAUGAGCCCGCGUUGGAUUAGCUAGUUGGUGGGGUAAAGGCCUACCAAGGCGACGAUCCAUAGCUGGUCUGAGAGGAUGAUCAGCCACAUUGGGACUGAGACACGGCCCAAACUCCUACGGGAGGCAGCAGUGGGGAAUAUUGGACAAUGGGCGCAAGCCUGAUCCAGCCAUGCCGCGUGAGUGAUGAAGGCCCUAGGGUUGUAAAGCUCUUUCACCGGAGAAGAUAAUGACGGUAUCCGGAGAAGAAGCCCCGGCUAACUUCGUGCCAGCAGCCGCGGUAAUACGAAGGGGGCUAGCGUUGUUCGGAAUUACUGGGCGUAAAGCGCACGUAGGCGGAUAUUUAAGUCAGGGGUGAAAUCCCAGAGCUCAACUCUGGAACUGCCUUUGAUACUGGGUAUCUCGAGUAUGGAAGAGGUAAGUGGAAUUCCGAGUGUAGAGGUGAAAUUCGUAGAUAUUCGGAGGAACACCAGUGGCGAAGGCGGCUUACUGGUCCAUUACUGACGC